AGGGUUCGAUUAUGGCUCAGGAUGAACGCUAGCGGCAGGCUUAACACAUGCAAGUCGAGGGGUAACAUAGGAAGCUUGCUUUCUGAUGACGACCGGCGCACGGGUGCGUAACGCGUAUACAAUCUACCUUAUACUGGGGUAUAGCCUUUAGAAAUGAAGAUUAAUCCCCCAUAGUCUCUUAGAGUGGCAUCGUUUUAGGAGUAAAGGUUACGGUAUAAGAUGAGUAUGCGUUCUAUUAGUUUGUUGGUGUGGUAACGGCACACCAAGACUACGAUAGAUAGGGGCCCUGAGAGGGGGAUCCCCCACACUGGUACUGAGACACGGACCAGACUCCUACGGGAGGCAGCAGUGAGGAAUAUUGGACAAUGGAGGCAACUCUGAUCCAGCCAUGCCGCGUGUAGGAUGACUGCCCUAUGGGUUGUAAACUACUUUUAUACAGGAAGAAACACCUCUACGUGUAGAGGCUUGACGGUACUGUAAGAAUAAGGAUCGGCUAACUCCGUGCCAGCCGCCGCGGUAAUAC
rnacentral:rRNA from 1 species